rnacentral:rRNA from 1 species
AUUGAACGCUGGCGGCAGGCUUAACACAUGCAAGUCGAGCGGGGGAGGUUGCUUCGGUAACUGACCUAGCGGCGGACGGGUGAGUAAUGCUUAGGAAUCUGCCUAUUAGUGGGGGACAACAUUCCGAAAGGAAUGCUAAUACCGCAUACGCCCUACGGGGGAAAGCAGGGGAUCUUCGGACCUUGCUCCAAUAGAUGAGCCUGAGUCGGAUUAGCUAGUUGGUGGGGUAAAGGCCUACCAAGGCGACGAUCUGUAGCGGGUCUGAGAGGAUGAUCCGCCACACUGGGACUGAGACACGGCCCAGACUCCUACGGGAGGCAGCAGUGGGGAAUAUUGGACAAUGGGUGGAAGCCUGAUCCAGCCAUGCCGCGUGUGUGAAGAAGGCCUUUUGGUUGUAAAGCACUUUAAGCGAGGAGGAGGCUCUUAAGGUUAAUACCCUUGAUGAGUGGACGUUACUCGCAGAAUAAGCACCGGCUAACUCUGUGCCAGCCGCCGCUGUAAAAC